AACGCGAAGAACCUUACCAGCUCUUGACAUGCCCGGUAUGGGCGGGAGAGAUCCCGUUCUUCGGUUCGGCCGGCCGGGACACAGGUGCUGCAUGGCUGUCGUCAGCUCGUGUCGUGAGAUGUUGGGUUAAGUCCCGCAACGAGCGCAACCCUCGUCCUCUGUUGCUAACAGGUUAGGCUGAGCACUCUGAGGAAACUGCCGGUGAUAAGCCGGAGGAAGGUGGGGAUGACGUCAAGUCCUCAUGGCCCUUACAUCCUGGGCUACACACGUGUUACAAUGGCGGUGACAAUGGGUCGCGAUCGCGCAAGCGCUAGCCAAUCCCAAAAAGCCGCCUCAGUUCGGAUUGCACUCUGCAACUCGAGUGCAUGAAGCUGGAAUCGCUAGUAAUCGCGGAUCAGCACGCCGCGGUGAAUACGUUCCCGGGCCUUGUACACACCGAGACGAC
rnacentral:rRNA from 1 species